GCCAAAGCAUAACCUUCGAGACCGGCAAUUUAAAUAAAAACGGUGCCAUUUUAUAUUUCUCCAAAAACUGAAACAAUAUUUUAUGACGUGCAGGGAAAAACGCAAGUCUGUUAGCCUCUUGCAAAGUCUAGGAGGUAGCGCGACCGACCAUUUCCAUAACUUCAUUUCCUUUGUGUUUCUCUCCACCUUUCUGUGCAGCACGCCAUGCGUUAGUGCACGUUGUUUGUGCGCCUGUAAUGAACCGCCUUUUUCAAUGUUUUGCCCCCCGCGAAAGCUUGACUUGCUCUCCUCUAUUCGCGUUUUUCGGUACGUUGUGUUCGCGAAGGGAAACUGCGUGUGCAAGCUCUGGACUGAACAAGAGGUGUGCUAGCCCUCAGUGAGUAUCCCGGCAGAGCGACAACCGCAGUCAGUGGUAUCGAGAACUCAUCCGCCUGCACAGGAGCCCAUCAUGAUCCAGCAAAUUUGAAUCUGCGAGGGAACCAGCGACACACACUUGUUCUGGCCCCCCUGCACCUGCCGCACUACCAGCAGCGUCUCGGUGCUCCAUCUCCCUGAGACCAUCACUCAAUCCUUGACAAAACAGAUCAGUUUGCUUGGCCUUCAGUAGCUCUUGCGUGCUGAAAACGAUUCCAAUUCUCCCAAAGGGAAAUCUGGUUUCGUCCCCACUGAGAACUGCAGCCGUCGGGGUCAUGGGUUCACUUUCGAGAAGCUCCCCCGCUUGGCUGAGUUGUGGCGCACUGCUUGGCUGGAAAGUGGAGUAGCAGGUUUGCCCACUUGUGGACUCGCCUUUUCGCUCGUUGCACCCAUACGCUUGCUAGCACAAAGGCACUAGCAGAGGCUCUCACACCUGGAGGAAAGUUCAUGGUAGACAAUGGGGCACAAGAUGGGUGCGUCAGCUACCACGUUGGUGCUCCUGUUUCAAUGCUGCAAGAGAAAAGUCACAAUGCUGCUAGCCCACCAUGCUAGCUGGCCCGCAGGCUCAUGGAGCCACAUCAGCCAACUGAGCACACUGGUUCGUCUGCACUACGAAUUUCGUCUCAUCAAGAUAGACAUCGAAUUUAUCUAGUGCAAACACGGUAGCGAGGCAUUUCUUGGUUACGAAAUAAUUCCUCUCUGCUGGCAUCACGGAGCGGCUGGCGAAGGCCAACGGCUGCAACAUGCCAUUGUAUUUCUGUUGGAGGACUCCGUCUAAAUCCGGAUUGCUCACUUUAAUCUAGACAACAAACGGUCAGGUCGGGGAGUCUGAGCGGCGCUAUCUCCACAAUGACACUAGACAGAUGGAAAAAGGCCUGCUGCUGUUUAGGUCCUCGCUGCCACUCAGCCGACUUACCCAAGAGCUUGCUCAGGGUGCCUGCAUUCAGGCACAAGACGAGAUGAACGACUGGUAAAGGUUGGCCAUUCCCAAAAAGCAGCAAAGGCCAUGUACGUCCUUGGGUGCAGGGAAAUCGAUGAUUCCUUAAGUUUCGCCCUGUCUAGCUCAGUGGAGCCUCUGCCCAGUGUAAACCCCAGUAACUCAGCCUGGUUUUGCACUAGUUGGGCUUUCGCAGGAUUCAAAGUCAUCCUGGCGGCCCACACCCUCUUCCGCACUUCGGCAACAUGGGCCUAGUGUUCUUCAAAGGUUCGUGGAUAAAUCAUGAUGUCGUCGAGGUAGCCCAUGCAGUAUGACCACUUUGCUUCCCCGAGGACGCAGUCCAUGAGUCUUUGAAAUGUCGCAGGACCAUUGCAAAGACCAAAGGGCAUACACAUCAGAUUUGACAGCCAGAAUUUCAUUCUACAAUAACAAUACAUGCUGCGUCAUCGCGUUGUUAAUACUAAACACCGACUUCUUUUUUUGCUUCUUUUGUUUGCAUCGUAUCUUUUGAGAAGACACAUUUGCUUCGAGUCGUCUCUGUAGUAGUUGUUGAUUUUGACAAAAGUUGUGGCAAUGAUGCACGUUGUUGCGAUGCAUCAACAACGCUCAUCAUUUCCUUUCCUUGGCUUGGAUUUUUGUUUUGUAUCGCAUUUUUCGCACUAACCGUGCAGGCGUGAUGGUGGUUGAUGAAACAUGUCUGCUGUUGCCGUUGCUGCUGAAACUGUUAUGGUGCAACAUUUUCACAUUGCUGGUCACUCGCUGAUGGUACUAGACACGAUUCUGAAAUCGCAGCAGAUGUUGAUGUCAAAUCAAGUCUCAACUGUUUUUUUUUUUGCGUGUGUGUCAAGUGUCAUCGUAUAGCUGUUUGGGAUUGAUUGAUCACUGAUUCACAUAUUCAGUGAUGAAACUUGUCCUUUUGUUAUAGUUGCACCAUGGAAAGGAUAUUGUUGCUCCUGCUACUUGCUUUCAUUUAUGUCAUCGGAGUAGCCAUUGUUUUCAUUUCUUUUGCCACGUGCGUCGUUUCUGCAUUAAAAAAAAACAAACAAAAAUAUCAAAUUGUGGCUUCUUAGCGCAAGAUUGAUGUUCUUCGUCACUGUAUUCCUCAGCGGUUGUUUCUUGUGGUUCUGUUGUGUUCAUUCUAUAGAAUGAAAUUAUGAUGCAUUGCACAUCAUUGGUUUGACUGCCGAUUUCAAUAUAAAUAUUCUUCAUCACUUACUCCGCCAAGCUGCUAGCCGCCGACACAAGAAUGUGUACCAUUGCAUUGGACAUGGGGAUAUAUGAAGAGGUUGUGAUGUGCACAAAAGUUUCCGCACUGAAGAAUUUAUCCGGGAAAGCCCUUUGUUUCCCCUUUGAUGCUCUUCUAGGGGGCAGCCAUCUUUUGCAGGGACUACAGGAACUGGUGAAAAGAAGGAAAGAACUGUAGUAAUGCUCAACCUCUUUUUAUACUCACAUAUUUUACACAAUUUAAAGCGAAUUGUUUUUAGGCCCUUAUAGAGCCACGGUGCAUCUACCAUUUGCAACCCACUGUCCAUUCCAUUCAUAAUUUGAGAAACCAUCACCAUAUGUCAUGGCGCUCUUUGGCCAUACCUGGCCCUUGCGCCAAUAAAAACCACAUAUUAAUUAAUUAACUUGCUGCCAAUAUUCACUUACAAUGGCUUUGUCGUCAGCUGCCCCAUCAUCAAACUGGCAGCCUAGCAUGAGUGACGAGGGUUCAGAUUAGAUGCGCUUGCUUUAAACAUGUGUGCCAGAGGGAAUGAUUCUGGCCUAUAGGUGGUGUCCACACCAUCCCGCAGCAACGGCUCCUUCAUAGCAAUGGAAACCAAUCUCGAAGACUAUGCUUUUGCACCUUUCGCUCUUGCUGCUUGCAUAGUGUUGAAAGCAGUAUCAUGGUUGCCAUGUUUUUAACACCACUCUUACCACGCUGACAGAGUGCCUCCAUGUGUUUCAGAGACAUUCAUGGCCACUGGCUGAGAAGUUGGGCUAAACACGCAUGCGCAAAAGGGGCAUGGCACAAAAAGCAGGUACCCAUGCCUGGACUGCUGCUGUGUUUGGUGGCCGUGUUGGAUUCAGUGAAAAAUCGAAAAAGCAAGACCUAAAUGAGGCUUGAGCUCUAGUUGUGGGCAUUUUUGGUAUGGGACCACUUUUGGGAAGCUAGAGAAGUGAACUUAGACAUAUGUGGCCUACAAUUAUGUUUGCUUUCUGGUUAAUUAUUUUCUGUUCAGUGCCAUGCUCAGCUUUUCUUCUGCCUCGUCCAUGGGCUUGGAAAGGAGGCAACAUAUUUCCAAUCUUGGAGGGGAUGUCCCCAUUGCUUUGUUUCCAUCCCAUGAGCCAUACAGCUUGCUUGGCUCUUAU